UACGAAGGGGGCUAGCGUUGCUCGGAUUGACUGGGCGUAAAGGGCGCGUAGGCGGUUCGUACAGUCAGACGUGAAAUUCCUGGGCUCAACCUGGGGGCUGCGUUUGAUACGUGCGGACUUGAGUGCGGAAGAGGGUCGUGGAAUUCCCAGUGUAGAGGUGAAAUUCGUAGAUAUUGGGAAGAACACCGACGGCGCAGGCAGCGUCCUGGCCGCUUGCUGACACUGAGGCACGAAAGCUGGGGGAGCAAACAGG
rnacentral:rRNA from 1 species